rnacentral:rRNA from 1 species
GAACGCUGGCGGCGUGCCUAACACAUGCAAGUCGAACGGAGGUUAGUGCUUCGGUAUUAACCUUAGUGGCGAACGGGUGAGUAACGCGUGAGGAACCUGCCUUUCAGUGGGGGACAACAGUUGGAAACGACUGCUAAUACCGCAUAAAGUUAUUUAAGGGCAUCCUUGAAUAACCAAAGAUUUAUUGCUGAAAGAUGGUCUCGCGUCUGAUUAGCUGGUUGGCGGGGUAACGGCCCACCAAGGCGACGAUCAGUAGCCGGUCUGAGAGGAUGAACGGCCACAUUGGGACUGAGAUACGGCCCAGACUCCUACGGGAGGCAGCAGUGGGGAAUAUUGGGCAAUGGGGGAAACCCUGACCCAGCAACGCCGCGUGAAGGAAGAAGGCCUUCGGGUUGUAAACUUCUUUUACCAGGGACGAAGAAAGUGACGGUACCUGGAGAAAAAGCAACGGCUAACUACGUG